GAGGAAAAGAAACCAACAGGGAUUGCCCCAGUAACGGCGAGUGAAGCGGCAAAAGCUCAAAUUUGAAAUCCUGCGGGAAUUGUAAUUUGAAGGUUUCGUGGUCUGAGUCGGCCGCGCCCAAGUCCAUUGGAACAUGGCGCCUGGGAGGGUGAGAGCCCCGUAUGGCGCACGCCGACUCUUUGUACACCGCGGCUCCGACGAGUCGAGUUGUUUGGGAAUGCAGCUCUAAGUGGGUGGUAAAUUCCAUCUAAAGCUAAAUAUUGGCGAGAGACCGAUAGCGAACAAGUACAGUGAUGGAAAGAUGAAAAGCACUUUGAAAAGAGAGUGAAACAGCACGUGAAAUUGUUGAAAGGGAAGGGCUUGCAAGCAGACACGGUUUUACCGGGCCAGCGUCGAAAAGGGGGGAGGAACAAGAACUCGAGAAUGUGGCGCGCACCUUCGGGCGCGCGUGUUAUAGCUCGUGUUGACGCCUCCAUCCCUUUUCGAGGCCUGCGAUUCUAGGACGCUGGCGUAAUGGUUGCAAGCCGCCCGUCUUGAACACCGGACCAA
rnacentral:rRNA from 1 species